rnacentral:rRNA from 1 species
AUUGAACGCUGGCGGCAUGCCUUACACAUGCAAGUCGAACGGCAGCACGGGGGCAACCCUGGUGGCGAGUGGCGAACGGGUGAGUAAUGCAUCGGAACGUGCCCAGUAGUGGGGGAUAACUAGUCGAAAGAUUAGCUAAUACCGCAUACGACCUAUGGGUGAAAGCGGGGGAUUCGCAAGAACCUCGCGCUAUCGGAGCGGCCGAUGUCUGAUUAGCUAGUUGGCGGGGUAAAAGCCCACCAAGGCUUCGAUCAGUAGCUGGUCUGAGAGGACGACCAGCCACACUGGGACUGAGACACGGCCCAGACUCCUACGGGAGGCAGCAGUGGGGAAUUUUGGACAAUGGGCGCAAGCCUGAUCCAGCCAUGCCGCGUGCGGGAAGAAGG